UAAAUCUUGGGUGNUUCCCCCAUGAUCGG
rnacentral:piRNA from 1 species